rnacentral:rRNA from 1 species
AUGCAAUGCGAUAACGGCGGCGAAUUUCUUACCACCUCCCUACGCGACCUCUUCUCCCGCUAUGGCGCCUCUCUUCGCCUCUCAUGCCCCCAUACAUCACCCCAAAAUGGAAAAGCCGAGCGCCUCCUCCGCAUGACAAAUGACAUUCUCCGCGUCCUCCUCAUACACGCCACACUACCCCCUGCCUUCUGGGUUGAGGCCCUCUACUGCCAUCGCCUCUGA